CCCCGCACAAGCAGCGGAGCGUGUGGUUUAAUUCGAUGCUACACGAAGAACCUUACCAGGGUUUGACAUGCAAGUGGUAGGAAUCCGAAAGGUGACCGACCCUUCGGGAGCUUGCACAGGUGCUGCAUGGCUGUCGUCAGCUCGUGCCGUGAGAUGUUCGGUUAAGUCCGCUAACGAGCGCAACCCUCGCUGUGUGUUAUAUGUGUCACACGGGACUGCCGGUCUUAAGCCGGAGGAAGGCGGGGAUGAUGUCAAGUCAGCAUGGCCUUUAUAUCCUGGGCUACACACACGCUACAAUGGCCAGCACAGUAGGUUGCUAAGCCGCGAGGUGGAGCCAAUCCAUAAAGCUGGUCUCAGUUCAGAUUGCAGGCUGCAACCCGCCUGCAUGAAGAUGGAGUUGCUAGUAACCGCAGGUCAGCUAUACUGCGGUGAAUACGUUCCCGGGGCUU
rnacentral:rRNA from 1 species